rnacentral:SRP_RNA from 1 species
UCGUGCUAAACGGGGAACUAGCGGUGCCCUGUACCCGAGAUCCGCUAUAGCGGGGUUGAAGUCCGGCUCGAGGUUCUGUCAUUCGGGACUGCGCGGAUAAAGCGGUGUUGACGGCCUGGUCUUGCGCGGCGGAGAGCUAUGAACCCCGUCAGGUCCGGAAGGAAGCAGCGGUAAAUAGUGAGCUCCGGGUGACGCAGGGAUACCGGGUCUGAGCUGGCUAGCCCGGGUAAGCCGGAUGGCAUUGUCGACAGCCGGUGCACGG